rnacentral:tRNA from 1 species
GUGGGUAUAGCUUAGUGGUAGAGCACGUGCUUAGCAUGCACCAAGUCCUGAGUUCAAUCCCCAGUACCUCUA